rnacentral:rRNA from 1 species
UGUAGUCUGCAACCCGACUACAUGAAGCUGGAAUCGCUAGUAAUCGCGGAUCAGAAUGCCGCGGUGAAUACGUUCCCGGGUCUUGUACACACCGCCCGUCACACCAUGGGAGUCGGAAAUACCCGAAGUCUGUGACCUAACCGUAAGGAAGGAGCAGCCGAAGGCAGGUCGGAUGACUGGGGUGAAGUCGUAACAAGGUAUC